AGCGCAGGCGGUUUUUUAAGUCUGAUGUGAAAGCCUUCGGCUUAACCGAAGAAGUGCAUCGGAAACUGGGAAACUUGAGUGCAGAAGAGGACAGUGGAACUCCAUGUGUAGCGGUGAAAUGCGUAGAUAUAUGGAAGAACACCAGUGGCGAAGGCGGCUGUCUGGUCUGUAACUGACGCUGAGGCUGAAAGCAUGGGUAGCGAACA
rnacentral:rRNA from 1 species